AAACCCAGGGUGGGCGGGGCAAGGAAGAAGAGGCGGAGAGAGUGGCGCGGAGGACGACGGGAAGAAAAGCGCUGGCGCCGCGUUUAUGACGUAACGCGCGGGGUGUCGCUGUGAGGCGGCUACAGGGUAAUGCUCCGCGCUUCUGAGCAAAAUAUUACCCGGCGGAGAAUUGAGAAGCGAGUGGAGAAAAUGAGUUCCCAAGACAUUUUUUCAAGACUUUUUUUCCCCAGUUAUACAUUUUUUUGUGUUCCGUCCUUCACACCCAGGGCUUAGCCUCCGGCCGUGACUCAGCACGUAGAAGCGGGACGCCGGAAGUGUUUUUCGCCGCCGGAUGGAAGCUGCGAGGCAGCCAAGCUGCGCUGGGCGCCCGCGAUCCUCCUGCUGACCGCGCGGCGACCUUGGCCGGCGCCGGAGCCCGAGGAGGCGGGGCGAGCGGCGCGACGCUAGUUCCGCCCCGCGGAACCGGGCUCCGUCCGGGCGCCGGCCCGCGCGGCCUCUAGCUGCGCCGGCUCUCUGUCAGGUGGCCGCCUGCGUCUGGGUGCUUCCUUCAUGUACUUUUUUCCAGAGGUUUUUUUCUGCCUGUAAUGUUACUAGGAUGGCCGUCACUCAGACUGUUCUUGAAACCGACAUGUUAGCAAGAUCCGAUGUGCCGACACCAUGAAGCCAAAGAUCCCCACACAUAAAGGGAAGAAGUACUUAUAAAUGAAGGGAGAAGGAUCAAGCAGAAAGCGGUAUUGAUGACUGUUAAAGGUAAACUACCCGCAAUGUGGGGCUCCAACUCAGGCUGAGCUGCAGGGUGGCAUGUGUACCAGCGAAGCCAGCCCGGCGCCCUGGGGCUUGGGUUUUGACGGUGUAAACGGACAAUAAAAUCAAUGAUCUGUUGGAACAACAAAAGGGAGAGUGCACGCAAGGGGAGGAGCAGAGGGAGAUGGAGAGGAAGAUCCUAAGCAGACCCCGUGCUGAAAUGGAGCCCAACAUGGGGCUGGAUCUCAUGACUCUCAGAUCAUGACCUGAGCUGUAAUCAAGAGUCAGACGCUCAACCAACUGAGGCACUCAGGUGUCCCAAGGCAGUUUUUGUCUGCACUCUUUGUCUAAAAGGUAUACUUACCCUUUCUCCCAAGAAGUCCAUUGGGUCCUCAUGAAAAUAGGACUCCUAGAUAUCUUAGUAUCCCAGGAUCUUAGCAUCAGGGUGUAGAUUUGGCUUCAGCUGUUCUCAGAGGAUCACUUUCUAAGUAUAUUUUGAUAAGUUCAUUAAAAAUUCAACUCUCAUUACCUCCAGGCAUGAUCUUACAGGCUAUACAACUAUUAUAAUCUUUAAAAAUUGUAUAUUAUAUACAAUUAAGAUUAGAAUAAAUAAAAUCAUAAAGUCUACUUAAAAGAUGAGGGUACUAUCAAAUAUCAAUUUCAAAGGGCCACUACAUUUAGGACUCAAGAAAGCAUUACUAUAGAAGCAGAGCUUCUAUAGAGUUUUCCCCCAAAAUCUAAUUGGAUGAAAGAAACUCCCCUUCCUUUCUAUGUAUAACUAAAGGAUGAAUAAGCAUUAACCAAAUGAUGGAGAAUGAAAGAGGAAAGAUCAUUCAAAGCUGAGUUCCAAGACAUGUAAAGGGUCAAAGAAGAAAAAGCAAUGUUCUUGUAGGUUUGAAAGUAAUUAUAUAUGGCUUAAUGGUAAAGAUUGAGAGGGGAAUGGCAAUAGUUAAAACUGGAGGGGUAAGCUGGAGAUAAAUCAUUAGGCUCUAUGUUUUAUGUUGAGUAUGAACUUUAUCUGAAGACAAUGCAGCGUCACCAAAGGACAUCAAGGUAGGGCAAGAGAAGCUCAGAUAAAUGUUUUGAAAGAUCAUUCUGGCUGCAAGAUAGAGACUAGAUGGAAGGUGUGCUAAGUAUUUUGUUUGUCUCUCCAGAUAGUCUUUCCACCAUACUCCACUUGUUUUGUGUCAUAGAAGAUUGACCUAUAAGGGCUCCCAACAGGCUCCCUUGCCUCUGGCUUCUGGUUGGGUCCAGCAUUGGGAAAUAGCAGCAGAAGAUCAGAGGUCGGGAGGAAAGAAAGGCCUGAGUAUUUAUCCCCCAGUUCCCUCCCUGCUGAGUCACUUUGUGAGGAUACUUCCCUCCACCAAAGCCCAUAGCUCUUAACAGACAGCAACCUUCCAUUCAACUGCCCUCUUUAGACUCUGAUAAUCACUGUCUCCCUUAUUUUUUCAUGCUUUUGGCUAGUAAUGACUCCCACUGUUGCUAGCCCCGGAGGAACUUAAUUUCCCAUGUUGAUUCCCCUAAAACCUGCACACAUUUUGUAAAUAGUUCCUUUAUUAAACAUACUGGAAAUUA